AUUUAUCCAAGCGCACCUUCCAGUACGCUUACCAUGUUACGACUUAUCCUCUCUAUAUAAAUAUUAGGGCGUUUAGUUAAGAUAUUCCUUAAAUAUAUUUGAGAGGAGUGACGGGCGGUGUGUGCGCGCUUUAUGGCCUGGUUCAAUUAAGCACUCUAUUCUUAAUUUACUGCUAAAUCCUCCUUGGACCCUUAAAUUUCAUAAGGGUUUUCGUGGAAUUUUCUGAGACAGAAAAUGUAGCCCAUUUUUUACCGUCUCAUAGGCUACACCUUGACCUAACGUAUUCGCGGCGGCGGCGGCGUUUGCGCUCACUUUGUGACCUUCAUUAGGGUUUGCUGAAGAUGGCGGUAUAUAGGCUGAGCAAGAGAGGGUGGGGUGGAUCGGGGUUUAUCGAUUACGGAACAGGCUCCUCUAGGGGGAUGUAAAGCACCGUCAAGUCCUUUGAGUUUUAAGCUGUUGCUUGUAGUAUUCUGGCGAGUAGUUUUGUUAUCUAACUACUGAAGUUUAGGGCCAAGCAUAGUAGGGUGUCUAAUCCCAGUUUGGGUCCUGGCUAUUGUGUGUUCAGAAGCUUUAAAGCCACUUUCGUAGUUUAUUUUACAUCAGCUAGGGUUUUACAGUUUAGAUGGAGUUUAGCUUUAUUAUGUCAGAUCUUAAACACCCUCUACGCCGAUCUCUAUUAGCUAGGGUUAAUCGUGUAACCGCGGUGGCUGGCACGAAAUUGACCAACCCUAAAUAUAGCAUGGCUUAGUUGAACUUUCGUUUAUUGCUAAAUAUUUGUCACUGCUGUCUCCCGUGGGGGUGUGGCUAGGCAAAGCGUUUUGAGCUGCGUGUGCGUGCUUGAUGCUUGCUCCUCUUGGUCAUGAUGAUUUAUAGGGCGUCUUCACCGGAGCGGGGAUGCUUGCAUGUGUAAUCCUGCUAAGAGCUAAUAGAAAGGCCAGGACCAAGCCUAUUUGUUUAUGGGGUGUGCAAACCCAUCUAGGCAUUUUCAGUGUCUUGCUUUGGGUGGGUUUAAGCUACAUAAACAGAGGUGUCAGUACAAUUGUGGGGUAGUUUCUUUCGGGUUGUAUGAAAGGGGUCUGUUGUGGGUUGGUGUAGAGGGUGUUUAGUGAAGUAAAUGCUUAUUAGUUGAGGGAAUGGCAGUUGGAGUUGUGCACACCUAAAAGAUGAAAACAUAGGCUCUGAUCGGAUAUGUUAAGACUUUUGUUUUUGGGGUUUGGCAAGAGUGGGUUUUGGAUGAAGGUCGGAGAUGGGGGUGGGGGGGUUUGACGAGGUAUGGUUGUGGUUUAUGGCGCGAUGGGGGUGGUGUUGACUAGAAUGGUUAUUGGUAUGUCCUACAAGCAUGAAUUAAAUAACACCUUGCUGAAGUUUGUGUGGAGCUAGAAUAUUGAACGUAGGUGCGAUCAACAACUGCAUGUACUAGGAAUCAAAGACAGGUGCAUACAGGACGGGAUGUGGUGGGAGUCAGCAUUCUGCGAUGGGGUUGCGUGCAGACCAGAGAUAAAAGAUACCAAAUGCAUGGAAAUCUCCCGUGACUGGUUAAUAGGGUGAUAGACCCGUGAUCCAUCGAGAUGUCUUAUUUAAGGGGAACGUGUGGGCGAUCUUGGUUGUUAUGGCCCUGAGGUAAGAACCAGAUGCCGGAUACAGCUCAAGUAUAGCUACCCCCACGAGUUAUGGGCCCGGAGCGAGGAGAGUAGCACUCUUGUGCGGGAUAUUGAUUUCACGGAGGAUGGUGAAUAAGGGAUUCCUAAGUGAGGGGGGGCAUCCGUGGUGAAGAGGAUUAUUUAAUAGAUAUGUGCUAUGUCCAAUGAACGAUUUAAUGUACUAUGGACGGCUGGCAUAGACUGGUUUAGUUGGUAUCCAUGGGAGGGGACAAGUUGAAUUUGAGGAGAUCACGUUAUGUAUUACUGUUGAGGUCCGUGUUAGGGUGCUUGCUUGUAAGCAUGUUGUUCGGGAAUGUUGGGUUGAUAUGUAAUAAUAUGUGUUAUGUACAGUCAAGCAUAUAUAGUACUAUAUAUUAUACAUGCUGACUAGCAGUAAUGCACGAAUUACAUAGUAGUAUUGUGAGUAGGUUAGUAUCAGAAUUAUACUAUGAAGCUUAUGAAGCAUAAGAAUGCAGAAAGUAGUUUAAGUUAGAAUGCCAGCUUUGGGUGUUGGUGGUGGAGUUAGAUACUUUCUUUCUGACUGCCCUAGGAAGAGUGUUCAUUUCUAGUUUACAAGGCCAGUGUAUUAACUUAUACUACGAGGGC
ensembl:lncRNA